rnacentral:rRNA from 1 species
GGCUUAUUGUAAAUUUAUAUUAAGUCUUACCUGCUCAAUGAUAUUUAAUAUAUUAAAUAGCCGCAGUAUAUUGACUGUGCAAAGGUAGCAUAAUCAUUUGUCUUUUAAUUGGGGACUUGUAUGAAUGGUUUGAUGAGAUAUUAACUUUCUUUAUAUAAAAUUAAAAAAUUUAAUAUUUUAGUUAAAAAGCUAAAAUAAUUUUAAGGGACGAGAAGACCCUAUAGAAUUUUAUGUUUUUAAAUUUAAUUUAUGUUUGGUUAUUUUUGAAUUUUAUUUUUAAAGAUAUUUUGUUGGGGUGACAGGGAAAUUUAUUUAACUUUCUUUAUUUAUUUUUUAUAGAUUUAUAUUUUUAUGAUCCUAUUUUAAGGAUAUUAAGAUUAAAUUACCUUAGGGAUAACAGCGUAAUUUCUUUGGAGAGUUCUUAUCGAUAAAGGAGUUUGCGACCUCGAUGUUGGAUUAAAAUUAGUAUUAGGUGUAGGGGCUUAAUUUACUAGGUCUGUUCGACCUUUAAAAUUUUACA